rnacentral:rRNA from 1 species
AGUCUGACGGAGCAACGCCGCGUGAGUGAAGAAGGUUUUCGGAUCGUAAAGCUCUGUUGCCAAGGAAAGACGCCUUGGGGAGUCACUGCCCUGAGGGUGACGGUACUUUGAGAAGAAAGCCCCGGCUAACUACGUGCCAGCAGCCGCGGUAAUACGUAGGGGGCAAGCGUUGUCCGGAAUUAUUGGGCGUAAAGCGCGCGCAGGCGGCCGCUUAAGUUUGGUGUWUAAGCCCGGGGCUCAACCCCGGAUCGCACCGAAAACUGGGUGGCUUGAGUGCAGGAGAGGAAAGCGGAAUUCCACGUGUAGCGGUGAAAUGCGUAGAGAUGUGGAGGAACACCAGUGGCGAAGGCGGCUUUCUGGACUGUAACUGACGCUGAGGCGCGAAAGCGUGGGGAGCAAACAGGAUUAGAUACCCUGGUAGUCCACGCCGUAAACGAUGAGUGCUAGGUGUUAGGGGUUUCGAUACCCUUGGUGCCGMDGUCAACACAAUAAGCACUCCGCCUGGGGAGUACGCUCGCA